rnacentral:rRNA from 1 species
GACGAACGCUGGCGGCGUGCUUAACACAUGCAAGUCGAACGGAAAGGCCCUGCUUUUGUGGGGUGCUCGAGUGGCGAACGGGUGAGUAACACGUGAGUAACCUGCCCUUGACUUUGGGAUAACUUCAGGAAACUGGGGCUAAUACCGGAUAGGAGCUCCUGCUGCAUGGUGGGGGUUGGAAAGUUUCGGCGGUUGGGGAUGGACUCGCGGCUUAUCAGCUUGUUGGUGGGGUAGUGGCUUACCAAGGCUUUGACGGGUAGCCGGCCUGAGAGGGUGACCGGCCACAUUGGGACUGAGAUACGGCCCAGACUCCUACGGGAGGCAGCAGUGGGGAAUAUUGCACAAUGGGCGGAAGCCUGAUGCAGCAACGCCGCGUGCGGGAUGACGGCCUUCGGGUUGUAAACCGCUUUCGCCUGUGACGAAGCGUGAGUGACGGUAAUGGGUAAAGAAGCACCGGCUAACUACGUGUCAGCAGCCGCGGUGAUACGUAGGGUGCGAGCGUUGUCCGGAUUUAUUGGGCGUAAAGGGCUCGUAGGUGGUUGAUCGCGUCGGAAGUGUAAUCUUGGGGCUUAACCCUGAGCGUGCUUUCGAUACGGGUUGACUUGAGGAAGGUAGGGGAGAAUGGAAUUCCUGGUGGAGCGGUGGAAUGCGCAGAUAUCAGGAGGAACACCAGUGGCGAAGGCGGUUCUCUGGGCCUUUCCUGACGCUGAGGAGCGAAAGCGUGGGGAGCGAACAGGCUUAGAUACCCUGGUAGUCCACGCUGUAAACGGUGGGUACUAGGUGUGGGGUCCAUUCCACGGGUUCCGUGCCGUAGCUAACGCUUUAAGUACCCCGCCUGGGGAGUACGGCCGCAGGGCUAAAACUCAAAGGAAUUGACGGGGCCCCGCACAAGCGGCGGAGCAUGCGGAUUAAUUCGAUGCAACGCGUAGAACCUUACCUGGGUUUGACAUGGAUCGGGAGUGCUCAGAGAUGGGUGUGCCUCUUUUGGGGUCGGUUCACAGGUGGUGCAUGGCUGUCGUCAGCUCGUGUCGUGAGAUGUUGGGUUAAGUCCCGCAACGAGCGCAACCCUUGUUCACUGUUGCCAGCACGUUAUGGUGGGGACUCAGUGGAGACCGCCGGGGUCAACUCGGAGGAAGGUGGGGAUGACGUCAAGUCAUCAUGCCCCUUAUGUCCAGGGCUUCACGCAUGCUACAAUGGCUGGUACAGAGAGUGGCGAGCCUGUGAGGGUGAGCGAAUCUCGGAAAGCCGGUCUCAGUUCGGAUUGGGGUCUGCAACUCGACCUCAUGAAGUCGGAGUCGCUAGUAAUCGCAGAUCAGCAACGCUGCGGUGAAUACGUUCCCGGG